rnacentral:rRNA from 1 species
CGUGAAAAAAUUAGAGUGUUCAAAGCGGGCAGAAACUUUUUCCUGCCACCGAAUACAUUAGCAUGGGAUAAUGGAAUAGGACCCUGACCUCCUAUUUUCAGUUGGUUUUGUUUUUACAGCGAGGUUCAUCAGGGUAAUGAUUAAUAGGGAUAGUUGGGGGCAUUAAUAUUUAAUUGUCAGAGGUGAAAUUCUUGGAUUUAUGAAAGAUUAACUUCUGCGAAAGCGUUUGCCAAGGAUGUUUUCAUUAAUCAAGAACGAAAGUUAGGGGAUCGAAGACGAUCAGAUACCGUCGUAGUCUUAACCAUAAACGAUGCCGACCAGCGAUUAGGAGACGUUGAAUACAAAACACCGCCGUUAAUCCUUUUCAACGGGGGUUAACGGUUGGUGAAUGACUC